UUACAGGCCAUCUAUUUUCUUAGAGUCUAGAAGACAGUGGAAGUCUGGAAGCUAUUUUUAAAGCCAUCAACUCCUCCACCAUAUCUCCUCCUUCUAAUGUUGAGUAUGAGGAGAGGUGUUUGCCGGCAGCUGGAGAAAUUUGGAAUCCUGGGUGGAGAUGGAUCUGUGAUUUUCACAGACAUCAGGACCCAGCAUUCAGGUGAAUGAUAAGGACAUGAGUCAGAAAGGUGGAGGGACAACUUCACACAGACUGAAGGGAAACUCGGAGGAAGAGAGCACAAUACACAUCUAAUGCUGAAGAGGCUGAACACAGUAAUGACAGGAAUGCAUGAGCAUGAAAACACACAGGCAAUCCACGGCAGAAAGAGAACCCACAGAGAAGAAAGACGUUACAUUAGCCAACACCUAUGGCAAUGGGUUACCACACAAUGCUGAGGUCGAUGCAAAACUUUGAACUGACAUAUUUUGGAAAGUGAGUCCAAGAAACAGAAGAAGGAAUGGAAAUGGGAGGGAUAAAAGACAGUUCAUGGGAUCGCAUCAAAUCUGUUCAUACGGGAGCUGCCAGAAAUCAGUUCUGUUCAGGAGCUUCAAAAACUCAAGAAUGGGAUUCAGAAUUCUCUGUUUUGGUGGGAAAAGAUGUUUAUCCAUCACCUCCUAAACUCUGACUCAAGACUCCAUUACGUUUGCAGGUUUUCACAAGCAUCUGAACCCUAAGUGGGAUUUGCUAAUGCUCAAAUAAUUAUCAAACUCUACAGCAGAACAUGAAGGAUAUUCAAUCCAUACAAUUUAACAUGCAAGUAUCACCAUAGCAACUGAGGUCAAAAGAUGGGCAGAAAGGAUCUGAUCCAGAGCAGUGCUCAUCACCACCUGUCUGCUUUGGUAGCUGAAGAACGACUCCAUUACUGGUCUGCGGGCUCGGGUGUCACAUGCAGAGGUUGGAACUGCAUCUCUGAAGUUAACUUAAGCACAUUGUUCAACAGUUUAUCAAGUCAACAAAACAAAAAUGAGUGAUUUUGUGAAAAAGCCAUGGUUUAGCAUCUUAGAAUAAGAGUUAAGUGAAGAGAUUAGGUGAGUCUGUUCUUGAGCAACAACCUCUUGGGUUAGGUUUUCUUCAAUUUGACCACCAUUUCUGUGGCAUAUUUUUUUUAAAGCACAGUGUUACUGAUUCAGCCUCAGAGUAAAGGGGCUAUCUUCCAAUACUGGUUGGUGAGAUGCCUGGAACUUAUUGUUGGGGUGGGGAUAAACAGGUACAGAAGACAUGAGUAUUUUCUGUUCAUGUUUGGGACUUGCCUAAAUCUAUCACCUACUUUAAAAAACAGAAUUAACUUUGCUGAUCACUGAAGAGAAGUAUUCAGCUUCUAGCAGACCCCUUAUCACCCAGCACUCAGCCACCAUCCAGUAGAGUGACUGUUGGCUAAGCCUCCCACCUUGGUAUAUCUGCCUCCACACCAGAAAUGUAAGGAACACCUAAAAGGCUUAAUGUGCUCAUAUGUGAAGCUCCCUCCAGCUCUGACAUUCAGGAAUGCCACGAUUCCAUAUCUAAGAGCUCAUGGUACACACACCCUGUAGAGGUGACUUCUGAGCUUAGCCAGCGUGUCACAGAGCCCCCACCAUGUCUCUGGAGUGGGAAGGCAACAGCUCCCUUUGCAGGGUUCUCAAAAGUAAAGCAUGAGUUCUUCUCCACUGGAGUCAUCUUGCUCCUAGAUUUUAUCUGAGCGCCAUAUUACAGCCAUUUCCUCUGAAUGUCCUAUCCCUUCACAUCUAACUCACCAGCGAUCAUAAAUCAGAAUCCUGGUAGGGAAUAAGCCAUCCAGGCAGAAUUGAAUAGUUUCUGGUUCUGCUGACAGUAAUUUUAAAUGACUCUCUCUGCCCUUGCCUUUGUGACAGUGUCCUCUCUGUGCAGAAUUUUCUUCUUUAAAUACUUCCCUAAAGUUUUAAUUUGCUUCCUUCAUUAUGCUUUCUUACAGAAAAAUUCUAUGCUCAGUAUUGCUUUAGCAACAGUCCUCUGCUCUCACACCCUUAGCGCUGGCUCACCUGAGACCCCGCCAACACGGUCAGCUCUACUGCGCUGCCUGGGCAAAGUGCAAGGCCUGCUUUCCUGGGUGUUGUAGCUAGUGAGGGGCAGUGCCAG